rnacentral:rRNA from 1 species
GCUAACUACGUGCCGCAGCCGCGGUAAUACGUAGGGUGCGAGCGUUAAUCGGAAUUACUGGGCGUAAAGCGUGCGCAGGCGGGUUGCUAAUACCGAUGUGAAAUCCCCGGGCUCAACCUGGGAACUGCAUUGGUGACUGGCAGGCUAGAGUAUGGCAGAGGGGGGUAGAAUUCCACGUGUAGCAUUGAAAUGCGUAGAGAUGUGGAGGAAUACCGAUGGCGAAGGCAGCCCCCUGGGCCAAUACUGACGCUCAUGCACGAAAGCGUGGGGAGCAAACAGGAUUAGAUACCCUGGUAGUCCACGCCCUAAACGAUGUCAACUAGUUGUUGGGGAUUCAUUUCCUUAGUAACGUA